GCUGGCGGCGUGCCUAAUACAUGCAAGUCGAGCGAACAGACGAGGAGCUUGCUCCUCUGACGUUAGCGGCGGACGGGUGAGUAACACGUGGAUAACCUACCUAUAAGACUGGGAUAACUUCGGGAAACCGGAGCUAAUACCGGAUAAUAUAUUGAACCGCAUGGUUCAAUAGUGAAAGACGGUUUUGCUGUCACUUAUAGAUGGAUCCGCGCCGCAUUAGCUAGUUGGUAAGGUAACGGCUUACCAAGGCAACGAUGCGUAGCCGACCUGAGAGGGUGAUCGGCCACACUGGAACUGAGACACGGUCCAGACUCCUACGGGAGGCAGCAGUAGGGAAUCUUCCGCAAUGGGCGAAAGCCUGACGGAGCAACGCCGCGUGAGUGAUGAAGGUCUUCGGAUCGUAAAACUCUGUUAUUAGGGAAGAACAAAUGUGUAAGUAACUAUGCACGUCUUGACGGUACCUAAUCAGAAAGCCACGGCUAACUACGUGCCAGCAGCCGCGGUAAUACGUAGGUGGCAAGCGUUAUCCGGAAUUAUUGGGCGUAAAGCGCGCGUAGGCGGUUUUUUAAGUCUGAUGUGAAAGCCCACGGCUCAACCGUGGAGGGUCAUUGGAAACUGGAAAACUUGAGUGCAGAAGAGGAAAGUGGAAUUCCAUGUGUAGCGGUGAAAUGCGCAGAGAUAUGGAGGAACACCAGUGGCGAAGGCGACUUUCUGGUCUGUAACUGACGCUGAUGUGCGAAAGCGUGGGGAUCAAACAGGAUUAGAUACCCUGGUAGUCCACGCCGUAAACGAUGAGUGCUAAGUGUUAGGGGGUUUCCGCCCCUUAGUGCUGCAGCUAACG
rnacentral:rRNA from 1 species